UAAAGAUUCAUCGCUGAUAGAUAGGCAUGCGUUCCAUUAGGCAGUUGGCGGGGUAACGGCCCACCAAACCGACGAUGGAUAGGGGUUCUGAGAGGAAGGUCCCCCACAUUGGUACUGAGACACGGACCAAACUCCUACGGGAGGCAGCAGUGAGGAAUAUUGGUCAAUGGGCGUAAGCCUGAACCAGCCAAGUCGCGUGAGGGAUGAAGGUUCUAUGGAUCGUAAACCUCUUUUAUAAGGGAAUAAAGUGCGGGACGUGUCCCGUUUUGUAUGUACCUUAUGAAUAAGGAUCGGCUAACUCCGUGCCAGCAGCCGCGGUAAUACGGAGGGUCCGAGCGUUAUCCGGAUUUAUUGGGUUUAAAGGGUGCGUAGGCGGCCUUUUAAGUCAGCGGUGAAAGUCUGUGGCUCAACCAUAGAAUUGCCGUUGAAACUGGGGGGCUUGAGUAUGUUUGAGGCAGGCGGAAUGCGUGGUGUAGCGGUGAAAUGCUUAGAUAUCACGCAGAACCCCGAUUGCGAAGGCAGCCUGCCAAGCCAUGACUGACGCUGAUGCACGAAAGCGUGGGGAUCAAACAGGAUUAGAUACCCUGGUAGUCCACGCAGUAAACGAUGAUCACUAGCUGUUUGCGAUACAGUGUAA
rnacentral:rRNA from 1 species